UAUGACAGAGUGCUAAAUUUUGCAUGGUAAUAUCAAGGGAUUUUCCUUAAAUGCAAAAUCAAUUCAUAAUAUUCUUGAUUUAAUUAAUUAUUUGAUAAACAUAAGCCUAAUCUCAUUUCAUACUUUCAUUU